GGCUCUGCCUCUCCCUCAAACCUUGUCUCCUGUGUGUUUGGCUUUUGAAAAACAAACCCUGGACUUUGUGUUUCCCAUCUCGCCCAGUGUCAGAGAAACGUGGGCAGAAGGAGAGAACGGAGAAUGUUAGUGAAGAAAAAAAAAAAACAAAAACCUGAGUGAACAGCACAGACUGUCACCCACCACAGUGGCUUGAGAAUCAUGCAUGGAGUGUCUUCUGGACCCUGAGGUGGCACACGUGGCUUCUCCUUUCUCACUGCCCUGGCUUAGGACUGCGGUCAGAUGCCCAGGUUCCAGCUGCCCUGUCUCACAUCAGCGCUGCCACUGUCUUGACCUUGCCCAUGGAAAGCAGCAACUCCAGCAUUGCCCCCAUCAUGUCUAUUGCUGUGGGAACCUCCGUGGAUCUGGAACCCAGGCUGUAUGGUCAGGUCAGUCAAGAUGGCUGUUCUCUUGUUCUCUGUACAUCCCCUGAUGGACUGGUCCUUGCUCCACCUAUAUCCUACUCGCAUGACCGACCUUCCCUCUUAGUACGUACUUGCCC
rnacentral:lncRNA from 1 species